CAUUGUUUUCCAGAAGCAGCAGCAUUUAGAGGAACUGGCACACUGCAGAACAUGCGGGAAACUAUAGAGAAUCACGUACAUGGAUCAAAGAACACCAUGUAUGAAAAUGCUAAAMAGGUCAUGAUGAACCACCUGSACARCUUGAUGGUUUGUUACUUUUAAUGUGAUAAGAGUGAAAUAUGAAUUACAUUACCUCUCCACUCUGUUAUCGUACCCAUAUACUGAUCCAUACAAAGCUGUAAAAAAGUACAUGGCUUCUUUCUCUUGUUUUUGUUUCCUCUCUUUCUAAARUGUCUUGAUGGAUUCUUGAUCUGAUAGAGAACAUAUGGCUAAAAUGUGAUCCCUUAUUAAAAUACUCCUUGACGUGUGAAUAAAAACAAGUUUCAGACAUUUUGACAAUAGUCACUUCCCAUUUAAUCUUGAAAUUAACUUUUGACUGAAACAAGUGAUAAAAGGUUUAACUCUAAAUCAGRKGGACGUCCUGAAAACACUAGAGGAUACCAUGAGGGAAUCGAUUGAGCUCUCACUGAAGACUGAUGAUCUUUCACUUCCAGAAGUUUCAGCACAGCUGGAGAUGGUCCAAAAACUACGUGAUGAGCUGAACAGCUGCUAAAACAGGGAACAUAUUUGAGCUGUUCUCAUUGGAGGGAUUCAUCAUCAUCUGCAUCUGCAGCCCUUCGGAAUGAAAAACUGUAGGAUUAUGGAACAACUUAGAAAGUGAAAUUGAAAUCAAGUCAAAGUGUCUUUACUUAGUCCUCAAGGGAGAAUUGCUGGAAAAAGACAUUUCCAUUUUUUAAUAGAUUUCUUUGAUAUUUUAAAUAUGAAAAAAUGUUUUGGAUUUUUAGUAUAGGUUGAUUACACUCCUUUACUCUUUGAUAAUCUUAGAAAUGUUUGCAUUACAUUUGGAAUUAAAUGUAAAUCAAAGUAUCUCAGUACUGCAGGUCUUAUUGCAGGAAAAAGACAUAGAAGACAUUUCCAUUUUGGAAAGUUUUCUUUGAUAUUUUAUACGUGACAAAAUGUUAUUCAUUUUUAGCAUGUUUAUUACACUUUUUUAACUGUUUAUUUUUUACAGAUGUUUGCAUUACUUUUUUCUUUUUUUGUUGAAGCUUACAUGAAAAAUGUAAAGACAAAUAAAGUAGCCAUUAUUUCUUGCUUCUGAAGAUGACUAAACCUCUAAUUAUUCUCUAUUUUUUUAGUUGUUUAAUUGUACUCCUAAUGCAUGUGUG